GGCUGGGGGCUCAGUUGGUAGUGCACACAUACCAUGUGCAGAGGCUAUAGUUCUCAGCGCAAUUGUCCUGGGUUCGAUUCCCAGGCUCGGGUCA